UUCCAGUGCCCCCGUGCAGGUCUGUUCCAAUGCAGUAUAACAGGCCUGGUGUUUAGGAUGGAGGGAGAGGGAGAGGUGCUCUAUAAGACAGUCCACUGGGACAGGAGGCUUCUAUCCCAGAAUGGCAAGAGACCUGCAGGACCCCUGUUCAAGUUUAGAUGCCUUAAGGGGUCUGUCUGUCAACUACACCUCCCACACUGUGAGAUCUACAAUAGUGGUGGAUGUGACUUCCUGUCUGUAGCCCAUGUGACUGAUGACAACACUGAGUUUCUCCCUCCUCUUGAGAUAACAGAAACACACAUCAUAAUAAACAUCAGUGGAUUCUCUGCUUAUGGUGAAGUCAAGGAUGAAGACUCUCCCACCGUUCCUAUACGAGCACUUGUCUUGUUGUUCUACAAACUCCCAGUUGUUCCUAAAAAGAGGUCCAUCCUGAAUGUGUUGUUGCUUCCCAGAAAUGUUGUGAUCAGGGAGGUACAGGAGGAGUGGAAAAGAAGGAAUGGAGACAAAUACAUCUAUAUUGAAACAAAUCCUCACUGCCAACUAACUCCAAAUCAAAAAUACAACCUCUCCGCAGAUCUUACAGAUGAAUAUCUAAUUCAACCAAAGGAUGCAGAAUUUGUGGAUUUUGAAUCCUAUGAAAACUACUUCCCAACAUUUCAGUUGUUCAUACAAACUGUUGUUGAACAAGUGAAUCUUCUUCUGAAAGAAAAUGGUGGUGAAGAAUCUGUCUGGGAAAGACUUGUCUGGC